rnacentral:lncRNA from 1 species
UUUGAGGUGCGGUCAGUGGCACCUCUAUGUUCUCAAAUUCACUCAGAUCAACCCCAAUCUCAUUUGUUUGGACAGUACCAGGACCAUAGAAAAAUAUGAACGUCACUACAUCAAACAUCUCGGUUCACCUAUAAAAUUAUUUAACAUGGACAGACAACUGUUAAACGUCAUGACAAACUAAACAUAUUCACAGUCCUAAUUGACACACCUAAAAUUAUUACGUAAUAUUAAUGGAUAAACUAAAAUUAUUCACACACCUAAAAAUAUUUAAGUACUAAAUAUUUUUAGGAUAUUACCGGAACAACUUCAAAAUUGAUACAACAACAUGUUUGACAUAUAUAUAUAUAUAUAUAUAUAUAUAUAUAUAUAUAUAUAUAUAUAUAUAUAUAUAGUACAUAUAGUACCGCACCAACUAAAAUAAACGAACAUCCUUUUUUUGCGGGAAAACUGACAUCCACAUCCACAUAUAACACGCCAUAUUAUUGGAGCAACUGAAUAUAUUCACACAACUAAAUAUUAGACAUCCAAAAAUAUAACGGUUACUACUGGAGCAAAUACCAAUAUUCGCACACCUAAUACAAAAUAUUAGUGGAGCAAAUAACAUCUACAAUAUUCGCACAACAUCUACCGGAGAAAAUGUCUGUAAAAUUAUACCCUUGAAGCGUGCGAAGCAACGCCGACGAACAUCGGCCUUCAAUCACCGGAGCCGGAGCUUCACGUCCACCACAGUGCCGCAGCUUCAUCAGUUCAUCUUCACCUCCACCACCUCCACAAAAUUGCUCACCACCAUCUCCACCACCUCCACAAAAAUGCUCACCACGACCACCACGAG